AACGAACGCUGGCGGCAGGCUUAACACAUGCAAGCCGAACGAGAUCUUCGGAUCUAGUGGCAGACGGGUGAGGAACACGUGGGAACAUCCCUUUCAGUUCGGAAUAACGUUGGGAAACUAACGCUAAUACCGGAUACGUCCUUCGGGAGAAAGAUUUAUCGCUGAAAGAUUGGCCCGCGUCUGAUUAGCUAGUUGGUGAGGUAAUGGCUCACCAAGGCUACGAUCAGUAGCUGAUCUGAGAGGAUGAUCAGCCACAUUGGGACUGAGACACGGCCCAAACUCCUACGGGAGGCAGCAGUGGGGAAUAUUGGACAAUGGGCGCAAGCCUGAUCCAGCCAUGCCGCGUGAGUGAUGACGGCCUUCGGGUUGUAAAGCUCUUUUGUCCGGGAAGAUAAUGACUGUACCGGAAGAAUAAGCCCCGGCAAACUUCGUGCCAGCAGCCGCAGUAAUAC
rnacentral:rRNA from 1 species